GUAUUGACCGCAUGCCAUGAGGUGUAUUAGAAGUCAUGAAGGUAUGAAGUAUAUAUUAAAGCUGUAAGAUGGAUGAUUGGAUCUCAUGACUUGAUUCAUGGGCUGACUGCAGCACGUCAAUCAAGAUCUUUAGUGAUCCUACAGCAGUGGAUUCUUUUGCAGUUUAUGUUAUGUCAAUCUGGACAGCAGCAUCUUUGAGCUCAAUCUGUUUCCUGUGUGUCUGCAUCAAAGGAAUUAAUCGGAGGGCACUAAUCUCUCAAGCUAUUAAUGUGCUACCAUAAGAAGGUUUGAAGUAUUAUCAAGGGCGUAUAAAAGAAGAGAGGGCAUGCAACUCCUAUAUGAGCAGAGUUCAAACGUGGGCAGAUGACAGUGCGUGAAAUGCUAAAAUAGAAACUUCUAUUUUUAGCACUUCAUGCAAAUGCACACAUUCCUCUGCCCACGUUUGAAUUCUGCUAGCUACGUGUACUGAUAGUGGAGUUGCAUGCCCUCUCUUCUUUUAUACGCCCUUGGUAUUAUGUAAUCCCUUAAUAACUGAGGCUAUCGAUUAGUAGCCUUGGAGCUAUACAUGUACUCUUUGAGUCUUACAAACUCAAGAAGUUUUUGUGCAAGCUGGAUUAAAUUAUAAUUAUAGCCUUUCUUAAGACGAGGAAAUAAAUAGCGAGCAUGCCCUACAGCAGUGGAUUCUUUUGCAGGUGAAUUUACACAUAGCACAUUUGUUUGGUUAUGCGACAGUUUAGGUGCACUAGCUGUACGUAUUAACCCUAAACAUCUUUCUUCUGUUUAUAGUUUAUGUUAUGUCAAUCUGGACAGUAGCAUCUUUCAGCUUAAUCUGUUCCCUGUGUGCAUCAAAAGAAUUAAUCGGAGGGCACUAAUCUCUCAAGCUAUUAAUGUGCUACCAUAAGAAGGUUUGAAGUAUUAUGUAAUCCCUUAAUAACUGAGGCUAUCGAUUAGUGGAGCCUUGGAGCUAUACAUGUACUCUUUGAGAUACUACUCUUACAAGCUCAAGAAGUUUGUGUGCAAGAGUAAAUUAUAAUUAUAGCCUUCUUAAGUGUAAAAGACAAGGAAAUAAAUAACGAGCAUGCCCUACAGCAGUGGAUUCUUUUGCAGGUGAAUUACACAUGGCACAUUUGUUUGGUUAUAUGCAACAUUUGAGCUGUACGUAUUAACCCUAAGCAUCUUUCUUCUGUUUAUAGUUUAUGUUAUGUCAAUCUGGACAGCAGCAUCUUUGAGCUCAAUCUGUUCCCUGUGUGCCUGAAAAGAAUUAAUCGGAGGGCACUAAUCUUUCAAGCUAUUAAUGUGCUACCAUAAUCACUAUUAUGAAGGUUUGAAGUAUUAUGUAAUCCCUUAAUAACUGAGGCGUGUAAUCAAUAAAUAAAAAAAUUAUUAGUGGAGCCUUGGAGCUAUACAUGUACUCUUUGAGAUACAAGCUCAAGAAGUUUGUGUGCAAGAGUAAAUUAUAAUUAUAGCCUUCUUAAGUGUAAAAGACGAGGAAAUAAAUAGCGAGCAUGCCCAGUUACCAAGCAAUUGGAGCCGCCUCCUGUAUUAUAGGUAGCAUGACAUUUAGUGCACAGUUGUGAAACAUUCCAACAUUGAUGAUUGGGUGGUACAUCCAUUCCCCCCACCCACCAUCUUGCUGAGAUAUUUAUAGUCAUGUAGUGUACAUGUGUAACGUACCGUUCUAGUGAUGUGCACAGACUUUUCAAAGUGGUGGCUAUUUUCAGCCCUCAAUCUCAUUUCAGCACAGAAAUUUACCUCUUUUGUGUAAUGUAUACUAGGCCCACGAGGUGGUUAGUACCAAGCACCGCUGACACUGUGGGCACAUCUCUGCCUUCUUAUGCAUCAUGAAUUUUUGGCCAAGGCACAUACAUACAUACUUGGUCGCGAGAGUGUGCAACUCGAUUGCGCAAAGAUGCGUUGGGGGGGGGGGGGGUUAUCUCCACUUUUUUUCCCCAGACUAUAACUCCCAAUUAUAACAACUUUUUGUAAAUUUAACCACCUGGAUGAGCGUAAUUAUGCCUCCGUAUGUGCAAGCAAGUUGGUGUGUCUGUCUCUAGCUGCUACAGUUGUUCAAUGUUCGAUGAAAGAGGUUCUAGUCAUGGGUUUUGUGGAUUAAUAGUAUAGAAGAGGAAGUAAAGAAGAGGAAGUAUAGAAGAGGAAAAAGUGUAUAAAAUAAUCUGACUUGCAUCUGUUCAAUUGUAUAAUUAUGGUAGUUUUGUGGCUACUUUAUAUACCAUGGACCUCAAGGAUCUAGGAAACAACAAAGAAGAAGAUUUUGUUUUCAAUGAAUUAUAAGCGGAAGUGCAUAAUUUUACUUCAUGACCAACAAUCAUACAAAUUUAUCAUUUUCUUUUCUUUUAGUGCCUCUCGCUCAAAAGUAUUAGAGUGUUAAUUAUGAUUUCAAAUUGACAAAAUAGGUGUUAGCAAUUGAAUGAACAUUAAACACAGUAACAAUUUGAAAAUAAUGUGUUUAAGUGAUAAUAGAGCACAUUGUGCUCGCAUGUUUAGUGUGUGUGCACGCGUCCAUGUGAGUAUGCAUGUGUGGUACAUACGUGUUUGUGUGUAUAUGUGGUAUAAUUACAUGCAUGUAAGUAAAUGUGGGUGUGUGUGUGUGGACUAUGACAUCAGAGAGAAACACUGUGUGAAAAAGCUACUGUUCAUUGUCGGGAUCAAUGCUAAGAUCAAGCCUAAUCUCUUUGGAGCAGAGUAAGGGCAAGUAUGAAAUUUUUCUCCUUCAUUGCAAUUUUGACAGAGGUAAAAUCCAAUGAUGCCUUCAUCAAAUUCGAAAUCAGGAAUAUCUGGGGCGUACACAUAACCAGGGCUUGAUACGUGAUUCCUUUGGUGUCUUGAUAUCAACUGUUGACCAUCCGGGCACUUUGUUGAAGUUGUCAGCUGCUGGAUUGUAGUCACAUGCGUACGUUCCGUCGGGUGUUUCGUACAGGUACGGUUGUAACAGUUCUCUAAGCACUAAUGACUCCCAUUUAUCAGAUGUUCCGCAAUAUAAGGAGUGGGCAAAAAAGAUAUUUUCCAAUUGACCAUUGGGAUGUCCUACUCCAUGCUUGAAAUUUUCCUUCCACGUGCGUGCCAGAAGAUUGAUCAAUUCAGUAUCAUUGUAUGGAAAUUCCAGUGGAAGUUGGAAGCUGACGAUCGUCUUGGCACGAACAUGCUUCGCCAUAAUGUCUAGGAACAUCGAACAAUCGAGGGGCAUUAUUCUUGGUCGUUCAGGGUUCAUUGGUAGUGGUCCUAGAAUAGAGGUGAAAUCAAGUGUAUACACAUGCGAGAAAACGUACUCCACAGCAUCAUGCAUUACCUGUGAAAGUUUAGCGUAUAUUAUUUGGUGUUUUAGAGAUAGAUAGCGUGCGAUAAUGAUGUGUAUGAGUAGAGGUAGAUUGGACAGUGUAGCCAUUGUAAAGGUAUGAAUGGGGACUAUACUGUUGUAACUUUCUACACUGAACGAUCUUCACCUGGCUGGAGCAAUUUGAGAUACUGAACGAUCUUCACCAUGAAGCUCUGGCCAGGGGGGGGGCACGCCCAACUAGCUCUGAACAUGUGUAAUGAUAUAAAUGAUCUUUACAACACUUCAAUAAUAAUUAUUUUUGGCAAGAUAAUAAUAAUCGUGAACAAUAAAUAAUCAACAAAUCUAGUUCGCAACAGCUAGCAUGCAAUUGUUCAGUCUUUAUGUUGUAUGAUCGUCAACCGCUGGACAUGCUUGAGGUUGAGGACAAGGCCUCCGGAUCUCGACGGUGUGGGCGUAUCUAGCAACGGUGUUGUGGUUGCAGGGAUAGGGGUUCUUCUAGAGUACGGGGUGUUUGUCCUGGUCCUCUGUAUUGGCACGUCGUGGCCCUGUUGUCCAUGUCCUGACAGCUAGACAAGCAUCAGUGAACUCACAUCGAAUUGAGUAUAACGAGCCAUGGCCAUAGAAAGGUGGGAGAGGGAGGAGAGCGCCGUUAUACUGAAUGUGAGGAGGAUAUGGAUAUGGAGGAUAGUCCAUCGGAUGAAAUCGACCUGGUAUAGGUAGGAGAGGUAAAUUUCUGAAGGGUGCCCCUGGUGGAGAAAAAGGGGGGAUGAGAGGUGGGUUGAGAGUUGUUGUGGCUGGUGCGGAUGGUGGGUUGAGAGUUGUUGUAGCUGGUUCGGAUGGCGGGUUGAGAUCUGCUGUGGCUGUUGGUGGGUUGAGAGCUGCUGUGCCGGCUGGUGGCGGGUUGAGAGCUGUGACAGCUUGGUUCAGUAAUGAAUCUUCCUCUUCCAUAUAUAUCUUCAGGGACUUGUUCAACGUAGAGAUUUCUGAUACCCAGCAGUUUAUCGUCAGACAUGUUUAAUUUUCCUCUUGAUCUUCUCUCUUGGCUGUUUGACUGGAUUGUGAAGCAUUUUAAUCACCAGCGCUUGGUCAUCUGCUAUUGCAUUUGUCACCCAAUCAUCACAAAUGUUAAUGUGUGCAUACAAUGAAUUGUUAGCUUUCAGCCAUAACUCAAUCUCUCUGGGGAUACAUAGUCGUACAGAUAAUGUCCUUUGUAGGACAAUUUACGCUUUAGUUUUAGUGGAACUAGCUGACACUCUGAAGGUAACCUUGGAAGGAUAUCGCACACAGUGUCUACUUUUGAUGGUACAUUUACAGCUGGGCCAUGUAUACACUUUUGCUUUCCAGUUGGGAGUGCUACCAUCUUCAUAAACGGUACACGCAAUGCAAUUAACCUACGCUCUAGUGCAUUCAAACACUUCAACUCAUGAGGCUCACUGUCUAGUUCCAUACCAUUGAUUUUAGCUUGAGCAGGCAUGACACCUCUGGUAAUUGAACCAUCACAUGUUUUACACACCCACUGGUUCCCAUCGAUUUUACUGGAGUGUGCAUGCUUAGAUAGCUUUUCGAGUAGGUUGGGGACAGCUUUAGUGUACUUACAAGGCUUGAAAUGCACUACAGUAUGUCUAUACAACAUUUUGUGGCAGCUAGUACAGACAAAAUCAGGACCAGUUCUCACCUUUGCGAGAAACUUAUCAAUUACAACAUCAAUUGUUUUUGUACAAUGUCUGAUAGUAGACAUUGUACGUCUUUUUUUUUCCCGCUCAACAAUUUCUUGCUGAGUUUCGUUACUCCUCUUACGAGAUGUAGAUUGCUUAUUAGCAUUUUUACGUACAGCAGUCUGAGGCUCAGUCUCCUUAUCUCUAGCUUGAGACGUGUGUGCAGUGUUCUUAGUUCUACGUACAAGAGUCUGAGGCUCUGUCUCCUUAGCUCUAGCUUGAGACGUGUGUGCAGCGUCCUUAGUUCUACGUACAUCAGUCUGAGGCUCUGUCUCCAUAGCUCUAGCUUGAGACGUGUGUGCAGUGUUCUUAGUUCUACGUACAAGAGUCUGAGGCUCUGUCUCCUUAGCUCUAGCUUGAGACGUGUGUGCAGCGUCCUUAGUUCUACAUACAAGAGUCUGAGGCUCUGUCUCCUUAGCUCUAGCUUGAGACGUUAAUGCAGUGCUCUACGUACAACAGUCUGAGGCUUACUUUCAUUAGCUCUAGCUCGAGACAUGGAUCGGGUAUUGUAGCAUUUACGCACAACAGCUUGUUCCUCGGUCUCAAUAGCUCUAGCUAUACACAUGGAUUUGCGAUUUUUCGCUUUACGCGAUAGUGAUUUGUCAAGACUUUCAGUCGCUAAUGCUUGUCUUGCAACCAAUUUCUUGCUAACCUUUGAUUGUUUCACAAGAAAGGGGUGUCCACAGUUAGUGCAUACUGAUCGUCUUAUAUGGCCUGUAGCCAAACAGUGGGAGCAAACCUUUGUCAAAGGCAUAGUCAGCCAGUAGUCUAGUCUGUGAGAUAUAAGUAUUAAAGACAGAAUUCAAUCACAGAAAGAAGAAUCUAUAACAAGCAAUCUAAAAGGCUAUAUCUUGUGCACACACAUCUACAGUAUUCUGGUAUCAUUGUAGUGUUUUGUGGCUUACCAGGACCACAAAAAGAAUUGAUUUCUGCCAGGAUCUGGGUUAAAAUGGAGUCUCUCACACGUGGUAAUGAGCGCAUGUGCAGGAAUAAGGGGUGUGUCGGCAAGUUACAGAAUGGCUACUAAAAAUUAAUAGCUAGCUUCUUCAGCAGCUCUUUCUGACUCUUGUAGCUAACAAAAAGCUAGCGCUUUAGUGCAAGGCUAACUUAUAUGUUGACUAGAAAGUUUGUGCGAACAGAUGAUGCUAUAAAAGAUUCUGAAGAGACUGCAACAUCCUUCAAUGUGAGUCACUAGCCAUAACUUGAGAAAGAAGCUUUAGUUUGCUAAUCCACGAAUCAAAAUCCAAGAGAUCGUGACUAGAAGCCUAUAGAAGCUGUCAGGUUUUGUUGUAUUGCAAAAUUACAGCUGGAAUACACACACACACACACACACACACACACACAGUCAGCUGUACUCGUGCGGCUACGCCUCGAGGCAUAAUUACUUUACCUAGAAACUGUGCUGGAGGUUUAGAGCCUAAAACUGCACCAACAAACAAAGACUUAGGAGAACUAGAAGUAAGUGAUAAGUGCAUGUGAAAACUUAGCUGCUUAAGCCUCCCACUCACUUUUGCUUUUAAAUGCCAUCUAAGUCUAAACUAAAAAAGGAGACAGGGUCAGAUUCACGAGCUGCAACUAAAUUGACUUCAUGUUUUAGCGUCCCCCUUAAUAAACAUGCAUGCAGGGUUUCUACUUUGCUGCCAUGCGGAUUGUGCAUUCUCAUUGCAAUUGCACGAGUCAUGUGCUAAUUUGCCAGGCCGCCUUUUUCUUCGCGGCUGGAAUUGAGGCUAGUUUCUUGCACACCCAAGUGGAAUCCAGUGGUUUGUACAUUUUAUUGCUUUCAUCGUUGGUGGCGUUCACAUACAAAUUUUCAACUUGAAAUGUGGACAUAUACAACAACAACAACUAUAAUAUACGAUCCAAAUCAAUGAGUACUACGUGAGGCAUUUGCGGUCCAUAAUUGUAUAAGCAAGAUACUUAGAAAGUAAAGGAGUUAUUGUGUAUUCUUACCUAGUAGCAGGGUGACUUUUCCUUGUCCAGUGUUGGCUUAGAAGAUUUGUUUGCAUGCAUGCGCCUCAUGAAACAGUGAGCUUGUUGUUCUGUCUUACUGAAAAGGUGGUCGAGCAAAAUCCUUCCGUAAGCCAUAGCACCCUUGGAAAUAAGGGUGAAGAAAUAAUUAGAAACAGUGUAUAAUUUAUGUACAGCAACACAUACAACAUACACCACAUGGAUUCCUUACUUAAUAUGGCAACUAAAUCACUAAUGAUUGAUAUGUUAGUUCCUUGCCCAAAUGGUAGGUGGGCGGGGUAAUCCCCAUGAAUGAUGAGAGUGUGUAAAAGGGAUUUCGUCAAGUUUAACAACUGAGGUAGACGCUGAUGUAAGUUUCAACGGUGCAGCACGAUCAGGAUAAUGGCGUUUUGUACCUAACCUAGGCUUCACUUUUUCUGCUUUUCCUGCCAUUACUUUACUUACAGCGAACUAAAGUAUGAAACAAAGCUAGUACCUUAACUUUUACACUGUACAUACCACGUGCACGCCCUACUGGUCGUCAUUUAAAAAUGCUAGUCUGGGGGCCAGACCUAAUAGCUCGGGGGCAAAAUAUGACGCUAUCUUCCAUCACCAUACCCGCUUGUCAACCUUUCUUAAAGUUUUUGAGAGUAGCAAAUUUGCUGAAAACUUCCUCUUGAAAUUCACAUGCAUGUAUAAUGAACAUGUAUUGUCACAAUUAAUGUCAGUCUGAAAGGCAGAGGAGAGCAACCUAGUAUAAUCCAUAAACCAACAGUUUGACUGGAUACAACCAGUACAGUCUAUUACCAAUUGGCUCAACCUAGGACUGGCUCUCAAAGAAGAAAUGCUCGAACGAUCACACUUGGCAGUCCAAACAUCAUAAAAACCUGCAUGCACUUAAGUUGGUACCUUGUAGAGAUGCAGCAACUCCAGACAAGUCUAUUUUCCAUCGGAGGAGUGAGUACAACGAGUGCAAACUUGGUAGAGUCAUCGCAAAUCGUAAGAAUGUACUGAUUGCCUUGAGUGGAGCAAAUGAGAGGCCAAUAAAAUGAAUACCGAGAUGGUGGCAAGGUGAAGUCAUUGCAUGCACGUAUGGCAAACCCAUUUAGAUUUAUGUCACUGUUAAUAAUAAUCGUAAUCAUAAUAAUUAUCUAUUGACAUAAUUAUGCAAAACAGGUCAUCACUUUAACUCGUUCGGUUCGUUCUCCCGUAUAUCCCUGAGACACACAAAUGCCGAAUUCAGCCAGACUCUCAACAUUUCUCUCCUUAAAUUCGAAUAACACCCUCUCCAGAAGGGAAUUCUCUUGGACACUGCAGGUUUAAUUCACUGACUGUAAAAUCGAAUGUGGGCAGAAGUACAAUUCAUGCACUCACUGUCUGAAUUGAAUUUUAGUCUUUCUAAGACUCUGUGUCUGAACCGGUAUUAUUAUUUUGACAGUGAUUAACACUUUGUUAAUCGCGCACGGCCCCAUUUUUUUCCGUGCUCUUGAGCUCCCUCUGCUUCCAUCUCUAGAAACGCUUUAGAUCAUGUUUGUCAUAAAUACUGCAACCUGAUUGGUUAGAGGAAAUGUUCUAGAAAAUUAUACUUACUUAGAAAAUCAUGUACCAAAGAUUUGAUCAAGAUAAGAUAAUAAUCAGUACAUAAUAAUAAGCAAUACCUUGAUGACAAUGAGUGUUUUCUUUGGUAGUGUUUCCUUUCUUGCUUGUUCUACUUCUUUACUUGACUUUGGGGGAGCGAAUUUUCUUGCUUUCUUUGCCACUGGAGCAGUAAGUAGGUUCUCACUGGCUGUGGAAGAGAGCAAAUAGUCUACGAACUCUUCGUCUUGCAGGUCAGAGAGAGCAGAUAGGGGCUAGUUGCUGCAAAGACAGAGCUGGAGGUGUGGCUGGUUUGGAAGGAGGGAAGGAUGUGGGCUGGGUCUCAGUAGGUCUAGAAACCGUGUAAUUGUAAUAGGCGAACUCAAGAAAGCGUUCGGCACCGGAGGAGGCUCAGAAUCCAUUGUUUGUGCGUUCAAACCAUUGUUGUCAGGUGUAUGAGCGUUGUUGCUAUGAUCUAAAAUGCUUAGACACUGUUUAGGAAGUUUCCACGUGAUUUAGAAGCCCAAAGGGCGUUCUGUAGAAUCCCGAAUAUAGACACAAGAAUUUUAUCUCCAGAGUGAUGCACAGUCUUCAGAGGUUUUGGGUCUAGUGGAAAGCCACUUUCGUCCAUGUUAAAAGGAUAAUCAUAGAGGCUACUUUCUUUGAGUUUGUUCGAGGAUGAUAUCGAAAUAACUGUUAAUACACUCUCGAGAAGAAAAUCCUUUCCUGGCAAGUUGCAAAAGUUCUCAAACGUAGCUUUUUGUGGCGACACAUAAAUGUAUGCCACCAUCCUCUAGUAACACUUCUUCGAAUUCCCCGAUGGAAAAGCAUACAAGACAUUAUGUCAAUAAAUUUAUCUUUGCAAAUAGGGUUGGCAUUAGGCUCAUGGCAUCUCAAGGUGCUCCCCGUGUAUACAUACAUGCAAGUAAACAGCCGAGGGUUAGCACUUUAGUGCUCUAGUUUGUUACCCGAGGCGCGGGGUAUAGUCCGUUAGUUUGUUUGUUUGUUUGUGACACAUGAGUCUACUCAACCUGGAUUCCAUAGCCUUCACACAACAAGUUAUUUAUUAGUUUUAUUGUGGCAGAUUUUGAUGUUUAAGUUUCGUUGUUUAGAUGUACACGCGGCCUUUAUUCGAGGUAUCUACGUAUUUACAGCUGAAGUGAUCCUGUACCAGAAACAAUGGAACAGGGUCACUAAAAUAGAAAGCUAGAAUUGUAGCUACUGUUGUAUAACUGAUAGCUAUACACAUAUAAGUGAUUAUGUAGAUUACGUACAGACAAAAUUAAUGUCUUUCAUAAUUAUUGGAGAAUGAGUUGACAUAUCCUGACCAGACAUGGAAAAUCAAUAUAAUUUUUGUAACAAUAUUUAGUCACUGCAUGUGGAUGUGGUCUUUGAAAGCAGAUGAACGUAGAAGGUUUAUAGAGCUAGCUAGAGCUGCUCUGUUGAAGUUUUUUACACCUUCAAGGUGACUUGAGAACUGAAUACACUUGGAACACUUCAGGGAAGACACAACAGUCAGUCAGCCAAGAAAUUUUAUUCAAUAUUUUGUCAUUUUCAGCAAUCCAUUAUUUUGUUACUAAGAACUGAACACACUUGGAACACUUAAGGGAAGAGACAACUUCAAAUUUUCAGCCAAGAAAUUGUAUUGAAUAUUUUGUCAUUUUCAGCAAUCCAUUCUUUUGUUACCAAGUGCUUCUUUCUUGGAUGACUAGCUAGUCUGAAGGCCUUGGUCUCUUGCUUUAAUACCAUACUGUAACAAAACUACUAUUGAUCUGACAUUUUGUCCAUACAAACUGAUUAUUGUCGAUGAUUAGACCGGAAAUUGUCCGGUGACUGACUGUUAUUAUAAACCACUGCUUUAGUGCUCUAGUUUGUUUGUUUGUGACAGCUGAGCCUGCUCACCUGGCUGCCAUAGCACUGCGUUUACAGCAUGGAUAUACACAAGUUAUUAGUUUUAAUAGUGUUAAAGCUUCGUGGUCGUAUAAAAACGAGCAAAGCUUGAACUUGCACGUUAGCUAACUAGACUACACGCGGCCUUUAUUUGAGGUAAACUGCGUAUUUACAGCUGAAGUGAUCCCUUACCAGAAACUACGGAAAAGGCGCUCAGAAAGCUAGAAUUAUGAUCGUAACCAAAACCCCAUUCUCAAAAGUUUCAACAACCCUCUAGCUGUUACUUGCUGCUUAGCCAGCAUUUAUUAUAAACACUCUUUUGGUUGCAUACACACACACCUGUAGAUCCUGUCUACAGCCGAGUGGGUUAGCACUUUGUGCUCUAGUUAUCAAUAUUAACGGCAUCUCGCCACAGAGAGACUUGUGUACGCCUACAGAUAAUUAUGUCACAACCUGGUACAGGAUAGAAUGUCUUAAUUAUUACCCGAGGCGCGCGUGGGCGGCCACGGGUAUAGUAGUCUGUUGGUUUGUCUGUUUGUCACGGGUAUAUCUACUCACCUAGGUACCACAGCGCUGCGU